UCUCGAGCAGCGACCCAGAGAACUACUACUAUGAGGAGGAUGACGACGACGAUGACCGCCGACUGCAGCGCCACCCGCGGCCACUAGCGGAAGCGGCCAGCGAGUUCCACCAGGUGGCAGCACCGCCGUACGUGCCGAUCCGGUCGUACACCAGCAAUGUCAACAAGUACUACCGCGGGGGGAAUUUCGGUCACCACGGAAUCGCGUCCGCGUCCACGGCCUACUAUCGGAGCAACGGCUACUUAGACGAGCAGCGGUACGAGCGGGAGCGGGAGCAGGUACCGGUGGCGCGCGAGUGGCACGGUGUGGGCACUAGCGGCAACUACAACGGUCGGCACCACGACCAGAACGGAACGAGGAGAGGCGAAAGCUACGGCAACAAUUUCAUAAUAAUGACCAGCGAGCUCGGCGCAGACGCGCCAGAACGGAACCCGAGAACGCCCCCGGGUAACAGCAAUGGAGGGAGUUUCAUCGGGAGAGAUGGAGGAGGUGGGGGCACUACCACCAAUACAGGUGCAACGCCAGCGAUGGCUUCGGGAGAGAACGGUCCUGCCAGUCAGGUUAGUGGUUUACCGACAUCUCCAGGUAACGGAACGUUUGGCACGGGCCCUGCGAACCAACAGGCGAAUAUUAUCAACAACAACAACAGUAGUAGCGGUCAGAAGGAGGCCAACGAAAGUGAACCAAGUGCCGCCCCUGCGCCGCCGCUGCCCGCAAAGCCGAAGCCGUUAAUCAAGAGCAAGGAAUCGGUGUCACCGUUACCGUUGAAACGGGCAGCCUCCAACAAGCCAACGACGCCAAUUCGGGACAUCAAUGGCAACAGUGGUGUUGGUGGUCCCGGUAACUUCGACGCCAGUCCAGUAGCGGACGGCGAUCCUCAAGGACCUGGUGCAGCGCUUAGUGGGGACCUAGCCGGUGGAGUUCCCGGUGGAAUACGGAACAAUCCGAACGCUCCGACGCGCGCGCUUGGUGGGAUCAAACCACGGAAAGGUGGCGGCUGGAAGGCCCGACCCCAGGACAGUGAGUCGUUCAACAACGGGUUCUCUCCGACGGACGACGACGAAGCCGGAACCGGUGGGAUUAAUACGCGAAACGUGAACCCGGUGAUAACCAGUAACGUGGUGGUGAAGGGUGGUAAGAUCGGUUCUAGUGGUGGUGGUGCAAUCGGUGGUGGUGGUCGUGGUGGUUGGGGUGCAAACCGUCGGGCGAUCCAGCCGGUGGCCGUACUGCCCCCGAGCGGAAGCCGCGUCCAGAGUCCCUCGGCGGAAGGUCUACCGAUAGCGGCCGGGGUGCCGCCCCCUAUGGACAUUCAGAGCGAGAACUCUUCCUCGCAAAACCUUCCGACGCCGGUCCAUCCGGCCAUUAGCGGUGCCGCGCGGACUCUGUCCCGCACCGACCUUUCCUUCGACAACACCCCCGGUCCGUCUGGCUUAUUGCCACACAACCCGGGCGUACCCGGCACCAUCGGGGGCAAUCCGCAGUCACGAUACUCAAACCUGUCGUUCUGGAAGGCGCGGCGGGUGCUGUUCUACCGGAAUGGCGAUCCGUUCUUCCCGGGGGUCGAGAUCCGGUUCAAGCCCGGGCGUGACAUCUGCACCCUGGAGGCGCUCCUGGAUAAGAUCUCCGCCCGGAUGGAUCUGCCCCGGGGCGCCCGCUACAUCUUCUCCAUGGACGGCGACCGGAAGUACUCACUGGACGAGCUCGAGGACGGCUCCAGCUACGUAGCGUCCUCGUUCAAAGUCUUCAAGCCCGCCAGCUAUGGUAAGAAGAACGGCGUUUGGUACGCCUCGCCGGGAAACCAGGGCUGGGGUAACGCCGGCGGUGGUGGCGGCGGAAGCCGUCUGAGCCGGAAGCCCUCCGUGACCGAGGUGGACAACAUGCCGUCCGGGAGUCUGAAGCCGAGCGCCGGGCGCGUCAUCCGCAUCAUCAACAGUCACGAUCACAGUGUUCAAUGCCGCGUACUGCUAAACCUCCGCACAUCGCAACCCUUCGAAGAGGUCCUGGAGGACCUCGGCCAAGUACUGAAGAUGAUUGGCGCCAAAAAGAUGUAUACCAGCCACGGCCAAGAGGUUCGCAGCUUCUCCCAGCUGCGCAACGAGUUCGCCGAGGUGGACACGUUCUACCUGAGCAACACGCCGACCCUGCCGGUGGGCGCCCUCGGCCCGGGGGUCAUUCCGCCGUCGCCGGCGCGCCGCUCCCGGUCCCGGCUCGGUGGCUCCGUGCCGGACGAUCUGUCCAAAACGACGGCCCGGCAGCGAGCCCGCAGCAAAAGCAGACCGCGCGUCCUGUACGCGCCCGAGAACGAACUGGUGCGGGCCUCGUCCGAUUACCCGCUGCUGGACGCCAUGAAGGAGGAACCCACCCGCAUCACGAUACGCGGACUGCGCCGGACCUUUUACCCGCCGCAGCACCAUCCGCCGAUCGACAACGCACCGCCCGAUAAGAAGCUGUCGCUGUUUUGGGUUCACGGCUACCGCGGCAUCGACUCCAAGCGGAACCUGUGGGUGCUGCCGUCCGGCGAGCUGCUCUACUACGUGGCCGCCGUCGCCAUCCUGUACGACCGGGAGGAGGAAGCCCAGCGACACUACACCGGCCACACCGAGGACAUCAUGUGCAUGGAGGUGCACCCGUCCCGGGAGCUGGUCGGUUCCGGUCAGCGGGCCGGCCGCGACCGCAAAUCUCAGGCCCACGUGCGCAUCUGGAGCACGGAAUCGCUGCAGACGCUGUACGUGUUCGGAAUGGGCGAGCUCGAUUCGGGCGUCCUCGCGGUGGCCUUCUCGCAGCUCAACGGCGGCAGCUACAUCCUGGCGGUGGACGCCGGCCGCGAAAGCAUCCUGUCCGUGUGGCAGUGGCAGUGGGGACACUUGCUGGGCAAGGUGGCGACACUGCAGGAGGGCAUCUGGGGCGCGACAUUCCACCCGCUGGACGACAAUCUACUGAUCACACACGGCAAGGGCCACCUCGCGUUCUGGCACCGCCGGAAGGACGGCUUCUUCGAGAAGACCGACAUCAUCAAACCGCCCUCGAAAACGUUCGUGACGUGCGUCCAGUUCGAGCCGGACGGUGACGUCAUCACGGCCGACAGCGACGGGUUCAUCACGAUCUACAGCGUGGACGCGGACGGGGCGUACUUUGUGCGGAUGGAGUUCGAGGCGCACAACAAGGCCAUCUCGUGUCUGGUGAUGCUGUCCGAGGGCACGCUCAUCUCCGGCGGCGAGAAGGACCGCAAGAUUGCGGCGUGGGACUCGCUGCAGAACUACCGCCGGAUAACGGACAUCAAGCUCCCCGAGUCGGCCGGCGGCGUCCGCACGAUCUACCCGCAGCGGCCGGGCCGCAACGACGGCAACAUCUACGUCGGUACGACCCGCAACAACAUCCUCGAGGGGUCGCUGCAGCGCCGCUUCAACCAGGUCAUCUUUGGCCACGGCAAGCAGCUGUGGGCGCUGGCCGCCCAUCCGGACGACGAGGUGUUCGCCACCGGCGGGCACGACAAGUACGUGGCGCUGUGGCGUCGCCACAAGCUCAUCUGGACCUCGUCGGUGGGCUACGAGAUCAUCUCGCUGGCGUUCCACCCGUACGGGGCGGCCCUGGCGGCGGGAAGUUCCGAGGGGCACCUGGUGGUGAUCAACGCCGAGAACGGCGCCACGAUGCUGACGAUCCGGGUGUGCGGAUCGCCGCUGAACUGCGUGGAGUUCAACCAAGUUGGUGACAUGAUCGCGAUCGGAUCGCAGAACGGCAGCAUCUACCUGUUCCGCGUGUCGCGUGACGGGUUCUCGUUCAAGAAGAUCAACAAGAUCCGGGGAUCGCAACCGCUGACGCAUCUGGACUGGAGUUCCGAGGGCAACUUCCUGCAGUCGACCACGAUCGACUUCGAUCUGCUGUUCUGGGACGUGAAGUCGCUGUCGCCGGAGAAGAGCCCGAUCGCCAUGAAGGACGUCAAAUGGAUGACCCAAAACAGCACGGUCGGCUUCCUGAUAGCCGGCAUGUGGAACAACCGGUACUACGCGUCACCGGCGAACACGAUCGUAUCGACCACGUCCCGCAACGUCGUCCAGGACUUGAUCCUCAGCGGAGACACCGACGGCUACUUGCGGUUGUUCCGCUACCCGUGCAUUACGCCACGGGCCGAGUUCACCGAAGCAAAGGUGUACUCGGGUACGUUGGCCUGUGUCAAGUUCCUGCACGGCAACCACAGCCUGGUCACGGUCGGUGGCACCGACGCCUCCCUCAUGAUCUGGGAGCUGACCGAGGAAUAGCCACUGUGGCCUCCGUGGCGUUCAGGUGCCGCGCCACAGUCCGCCUCCCCAGCGACGGGCGGCGGCGGUGGAGUCGUCGUCGGACCGCGACCGACCGACGAACAGCGGCCGAGCCUAGUGGAAAAUUGCGCGGAACCUACUAUCACUACUACUGCUACUACUGCAAACGGACCAACAGGAGUCAGCCGCUGGUACCGAGGAUGAUGAGCUGGAAGGAGACGAAGGAGACGACGAAAACGAUUCCGUGGACGGCGCCG